GCCCAGGCUGGCCUUGAAUUCAUGGCAGUUCUCUUACCUCAGCUUCUUGAAUGCUGAGAUUACAGGUGUGUGCCACCAUGCAGCAGGAUCACAAAUUGAAAUCCCACCUGGACAAUUUAGUGAGACCCUGUCUCAAAAAAAAAAAAAAAAAAAAAAAGGGUGGGAGUGUAGCUCAGUGUGAAAGCCCUGGGUUCAAUGCCCAGUACCAAAAAAAAGCAUCGGUGAGGAUGGGGCUGUGUGAUCCCAGAGAAAAAGUUGGAGCUCGAAGAAGCAAGGAGGGACCCUUCCCUAGAGCUUCCAACACUUUGAACUUCUCACUUUCUCUGAGACAAUGGACUCAUUUUAGGCUGUCAAGUUUGUGGCACUGUAUUACAAUAGCCACAAAAGAAACUAAUAUGCCCCAAGUGCCCCAAAAGCCCUCUCUGCCAUCUUUGGCCUUUGCUUCCUUGUCAUCUUCUUAGGGAGACUUCAUGACAACCUCAAGGUGACAAUUUAGGCUGCCACCCCUCCCACCUCAUUCCCUGGCCACCUCCUGCUUAGAGUCACCCUCAUGUAGGUCCUCCCUGUCUCCACAUGGACAGAUCAUUGCCUUUUAGAAGAAACCUACAAGAUGGACAUCCCACUUUCAUACUCAAGAAGGCCUGGAGAGGGUGGCCACUGCACUGUCUGUGCCGAGCUGAACCCACGAUCUUCAGUUGAACCUUUCCUCUGGCUCUGGAGUGACCCAGAAAAGACUUUCCCCGAGUCUACCCCCCUCUUCAGAGGAAACACCACCCACCUCAUAAUCUUGCAGCGACUCUUAUAAUCAUCAGAGGGCUGGCCUGGACCCCAGGCCUCUGGAAUAAAGGAACAAAGGUGUGAAAGAACAACAGAUGUGCUCACUGCAGUAUGGUCACAGUUUCCCUCCUGGCCUCUGAGAGGGCUCUGUGCAGAGGGUGACUGUACAGCAGCCUGAACACUGUCCUCCCUGAGCUGCCAGCAGCAAAUUGCUUGCCCCCACUUGUAGGAAGGAGAAUUCUGGACCUGAAGCAGUGGCCUGACAACGCCCCUACCAAGUUCCCAUUUUGCUCAGCUGUAAAUCAGGACCGUGUGUUAUCUGGGUGUGAGAGGGAGAGUGUACUUGGCCGGGCGGGACAAUGGGUGGCAUUUAGUGGCAUGUAGUCUCUCACUUGGGGCACGUGGGG
rnacentral:lncRNA from 1 species